rnacentral:other from 1 species
GACACUCUGCGGUGUGCGACACCCUUUCCCAUUUAUAAUCCGACAAGCAUAAAUUUAGGGAUUCAGCGUCUCCAAUCGACUAGUGCAGACCUCCCGCCCCCCUGCGGGGAGCGCGGAAGAAGGGAGCGCGAUGUCGGUGGGCGCCCACCCACCUGUCAUUGACGGGGUUUUAUUCGGGGGAGGGAUCGGCAUUGCGGGGUGUCU